AGCCGGGGUUUCUUUACCAGGUACUGUCAUUAUCAUCCCUGGCGAAAGAGCUUUACGAUCCUAAGACCUUCAUCACUCACGCGGCAUGGCUAGAUCAGGCUUGCGCCCAUUGUCUAAGAUUCCC
rnacentral:rRNA from 1 species